UACGGAGGUGCAAGCGUUGUCCGGAAUCACUGGGCGUAAAGGGCGCGUAGGCGGCUCAUGAAGGCUGUGGUGAAAGUCCGGGGCGUCAACCUCGGAUCGGCCGUGGCGACUCGUGGGCUGGAGCACUGUAGAGGCGGGUGGAAUUCCGGGUGUAGCGGUGGAAUGCGUAGAGAUCCGGAAGAACACCAGUGGCGAAGGCGGACCCGCUGGGCAGUGGCUGACGCUGAGGCGCGACAGCGUGGGGAGCAAACGAGGAUU
rnacentral:rRNA from 1 species